CCGAGUUGCACCCCUAAUUGAGCUAGUAGUAUAUAUAAAUAUAUCUUCAGUUUUUGAAAGGCAAAGAAGAAAUGAGAACCCUCAUCUCAUCUCGUCUCUUGUCUCUCUCUCUCUCUCUCUCUCUCUGAACUUUGAAGAUGAUGAACGACGGGAGGCGUGAUAAGGAACGACGUUGAUGGCGAUGAGUGUCGACGUUGAUGAUCACCAGGGACUUAGAGACGUCGACAAUCGGCAACUACUCAGUGAGGAUUUCAUCUACUCGAUGUUCAUUGAUCUCCGACAAUAACUGGUUUCGUUUGCUUGUAAAUUAAGACGGUGUAAAGAAUGAUUAGAUUCGCAAUCAGAAGAAAUUGCCAAAGCAAAUACACAAAUCACUUACCCAACAAUCCAUCAAGUUCCUAAUUGGCAGAAGGUUGAAAUAAUAGAAGUUGAAUCAUUUUAGGUUGCAGUUGCAGACUUUGAAUCAGGGUUUGUACUGCUCGCCUCAAGAAGCUCAGUUAUUGUCUUAGCAUCGACCAUUGCGACCCUGUCCUCGUCUUUCAGAAGGUCUAUGUCGGUGUCUACAAUGGCGUCACCACCAGCAAACUCGAUGAAUUGUCCACUAAAACUGCUGAUGCCAUGACUACUAACCAUCCUAACUAUGCUUCUGUGAGUUUCGUUCUGAAAUUAGGAUUGUAGCUUUUAAUCUGAGAUUAUUGAUUUGUUUUUAAUCAAAGUCUCUUUCUCAAUCAAUAUCUUUUCUUUCUGUUCUUACUAAUUCCUCUUCUCAAAGCAGAUAUAAGCUUUCACAUGCUUCUUUUUCCUUCAUUUUCUGGUUUGGUUAUUGAUCUGACUGCUGGUUAAUUAAUCUUUAAAAAGAUGAUCUUUGUGUGAGAUUGAUGAAAAUGAUUACAGCUUGAGACCAGCAAGGUAGUUUUUCUUCUUUUUUUUUUUAUUGGCAAAAGUUAGCGAUUAGUUUUUAGAUUGGCACCUUAGAGGAGUUAAAUUCACACCCUCUCAUUGCAAGCACUUAAGACUUACCUUCUAUUUGUAAACAAUAAUCGAAAGAGAGAAUGAGAGGUAAAGAGCUGAUAAAAAUUCGUGUAAUGAAUAUUCCUCAAGCACACUGAAAUACAACAUGAAUGCAUACAUAGGUGUGCAAACAAUAUGCACAUGUCUGCUUGCCUCUACAUGCACAAAGUGAGAUAGAAGGGAGUUGGGAAGGUGAUUAAAUUUAAAUGUGGGACAAUCUUGAAUUAUGAGUUGAUUUGGGUGGUGAUGGAAGCCUUGUUGAAUGGCAUUGCCAUCUCCAAACAAAAAACAAAAGUGAAAAAACUUAAUAAAGCACCUUACUGGGAAGAGGAUUCAUAAAGUCAGAGGACAAACACAGAAUAUUUUUUCAUAUUAUACUAUAUUUUUCUGUUUGAUGUUGCUAUUUCAUGUGUUAGACCCAGUUAAAUUGAUAAAUAUGUACUUAAUUUAUCUAUAAUAUGUGAUUGGAUGGCUCAACAUCAUUCAUACUUUCAAGCAUGACUAAAAUGACUUAGGUGGUGCAAGCAAAGAACUAAUGGACUAACAGAAAAAGAGAUAUGCAAGAUUGUGGAGUGAUUUUAUACUUGUUAAUCAUUCUAACAGCGGCUUGGUCAACUUUUAUUUGGAUAAUGUUGAAAUUAGGAUUGGCAAUGGUGAAGGAAUCAUCUUCUGGGUAGAUAAUUGAAUGGGAACCAAUUGUUUGAAGUCCCAAUUUCCUAGACUUUAUUACUUAUCAGUGGAUUAAAAACACAACUUUGAAUUUGCAGGUGACUAGGGCUAGAAACCAAAGCAGCUGGGAAUUCAACUUCAAAAGACCCGUAUUGACAUGGGAGGAAGGAGAAUUGCAGAGACUACUUGAUGUUAUAGGUGAGGGCUCUGCAUUGAGAUUGUAGUCAAAUGAUAGUAUUUGGUGGAAAGUUGAUUCUUCAGGUAUUUUUCUUGUUAAAUGUGCUAUUAAUUGGUGCGAAUCAUUAAAUGGUCUUACUCUGAAACCUCUUGACUUUAUUUGGAACAAUCCCUCCCCACCUAGCGCCCAAUUUUCUCUUACUUGGCCUGGAAAGGGAGGAUUAAGACCUUAGAUUAUCUACAUAGAAUUGGUGUUCUUAGUGAUGAUGCCAGAUCUAAGUGUGUUAUGUCACUUUAACAUUAAAUCACUCAAUCAUGUUUUGUUGAUUUGCCCCUUUGCUUGCAAAGUUUGGUCCAACAUAAUCAACUGGUGGGGUUUGCAGUCGGCCUCUCCUAGUUCAGUGGACAUGCUAAUGCACUAGUGGAUGGGUUAUAAUUUUAGAAAAGGAGAAAAGAAACUUUGGAGAUCAAUUAUUAUGGCUGAUUUAUGGUCCCUUUAGAAAUGUAGGAAUGACUGUUUGUUCAAUGAGCUGCAACCAAACUGUGAAGAUCUUUGUGAGCUAAUUAAAGUGAGAGUAGCCCUUUGGAUGAAAACACACUCGGUGGGCUAAGGCUACACGGUGGAUGAUUUUGUAUACAACAUGCAACAAGUAAAAAGGUGCAUCUGCUAGAAGAUGAUCAGAGGAGGCUUUCAAAACAGUGUUUGGAGUGAAACUAGUUGCUGUUAGUUGUUGCUGCUGCUAGUGCUACUGAUUGUUUUUGGCAUCAGGUGAUUUUGGUGUUGUUUUGGUGUUGUUAGUGUUGCUGCUAGUUGUUGUUAGUUGCUGUUUUUGGUGUUGUAGAGCUAUUUUUGGUGCUAAUUUUGGUGGUGUUGUGUUGUUUUGGUGCUGUUUGAUAUGUUAAUUGUUGUUUUUUUCUUGGCCUUGGUUGGUAGCUCACCAACUCUUGAUUUAGAUCUUUUUGGACGGUUUUGAAGUUGAGGACAAUUUUUGAUAUUUAGAAACAUAGUUUUUGGAUGGCUUAGAUUGUACAGAUAGUUUUUGGAUGUUCGAAACUUAUGAAUAAUUUUUUUGAUGUUUGAAAUAAUAUUUUGGUGAUUGAUUGAUACUUA